rnacentral:rRNA from 1 species
UUAAGUUUUGUUUGUCUUGGGNGAGAGUAGUACUAGGAUGGGUGACCUCCUGGGAAGUCCUCGUGUUGCACCCC